rnacentral:rRNA from 1 species
UACGAAGGGGGCGAGCGUUGUUCGGAAUUACUGGGCGUAAAGGGCGCGUAGGCGGCGACCCAAGUCAGAUGUGAAAGUCCUGGGCUUAACCUGGGGACUGCAUUUGAUACUGGGUUGCUUGAAUUCGGGAGAGGAUAGCGGAAUUCCCAGUGUAGAGGUGAAAUUCGUAGUUAUUGGGAAGAACACCGGUGGCGAAGGCGGCUAUCUGGACCGACAUUGACGCUGAGGCGCGAAAGCGUGGGGAGCAAACAGG